rnacentral:rRNA from 1 species
UGGGGAAUAUUGCACAAUGGGGGAAACCCUGAUGCAGCGACGCCGCGUGAGCGAAGAAGUAUUUCGGUAUGUAAAGCUCUAUCAGCAGGGAAGAUAAUGACGGUACCUGACUAAGAAGCUCCGGCUAAAUACGUGCCAGCAGCCGCGGUAAUACGUAUGGAGCAAGCGUUAUCCGGAUUUACUGGGUGUAAAGGGAGCGUAGGCGGUGGUGCAAGUCUGAUGUGAAAACCCGGGGCUCAACCCCGGGACUGCAUUGGAAACUGCGUCACUUGAGUGUCGGAGGGGUAAGUGGAAUUCCUAGUGUAGCGGUGAAAUGCGUAGAUAUUAGGAGGAACACCAGUGGCGAAGGCGGCUUACUGGACGACAACUGACGCUGAGGCUCGAAAGCGUGGGGAGCAAACAGG